rnacentral:rRNA from 1 species
GACAGAGGUGCCAAGCGUUAGGCGGAAUCACUGGGCUUAAAGCGUGUGUAGGCGGGGCGUUAAGUACCUUGUGAAAUCCCCCGGCUCAACCGGGGAACGGCUGGGUAUACUGGCGAUCUUGAGCCACCUAGGGGCAGUCGGAACAAGUGGUGGAGCGGUGAAAUGCGUAGAUAUCACUUGGAACGCCAAUGGUGAAAACAGACUGCUGGGGGUGUGCUGACGCUGAGACACGAAAGCCAGGGGAGCAAACGGG